GAGCGGAUGACGGGAGCUUGCUCCUUGAUUCAGCGGCGGACGGGUGAGUAAUGCCUAGGAAUCUGCCUGGUAGUGGGGGACAACGUUUCGAAAGGAACGCUAAUACCGCAUACGUCCUACGGGAGAAAGCAGGGGACCUUUGGGCCUUGCGCUAUCAGAUGAGCCUAGGUCGGAUUAGCUAGUUGGUGGGGUAAUGGCUCACCAAGGCGACGAUCCGUAACUGGUCUGAGAGGAUGAUCAGUCACACUGGAACUGAGACACGGUCCAGACUCCUACGGGGCAGCAGUGGGGAAUAUUGGACAAUGGGCGAAAGCCUGAUCCAGCCAUGCCGCGUGUGUGAAGAAGGUCUUCGGAUUGUAAAGCACUUUAAGUUGGGAGGAAGGGCAGUAAGUUAAUACCUUGCUGUUUUGACGUUACCGACAGAAUAAGCACCGGCUAACUCUGUG
rnacentral:rRNA from 1 species